rnacentral:rRNA from 1 species
UAAACGUACGUCGGGUAGUAACCUACGCUUCGUACACUGGGGGAUAACACUUAGAAAUAGGUGCUAAUACCGCAUAAGCGCACAGAGCCGCAUGGCUCAGUGUGAAAAACUCCGGUGGUGUAAGAUGGAUCCGCGUCUGAUUAGCUGGUUGGCGGGGUAGAAGCCCACCAAGGCGACGAUCAGUAGCCGGCCUGAGAGGGUGAACGGCCACAUUGGGACUGAGACACGGCCCAAACUCCUACGGGAGGCAGCAG